GACGAACGCUGGCGGCGUGCUUAACACAUGCAAGUCGAACGGUAAGGCCCUUCGGGGUACACGAGUGGCGAACGGGUGAGUAACACGUGGGUGAUCUGCCCUGCACUUCGGGAUAAGCCUGGGAAACUGGGUCUAAUACCGGAUAGGACCACUUCCUGCAUGGGUGGUGGUGGAAAGCUUUUGCGGUGUGGGAUGGGCCCGCGGCCCAUCAGCUUGUUGGUGGGGUAAUGGCCUACCAAGGCGACGACGGGUAGCCGGCCUGAGAGGGUGACCGGCCACACUGGGACUGAGAUACGGCCCAGACUCCUACGGGAGGCAGCAGUGGGGAAUAUUGCACAAUGGGCGCAAGCCUGAUGCAGCGACGCCGCGUGAGGGAUGACGGCCUUCGGGUUGUAAACCUCUUUCAGCACCGACGAAGCGCAAGUGACGGUAGGUGCAGAAGAAGGACCGGCCAACUACGUGCCAGCCGCCGCAGUAA
rnacentral:rRNA from 1 species